GUAUUACUGAAGAGUCCCAAUCUGGGACGAAACAGUUGUCCAGUAC
rnacentral:hammerhead_ribozyme from 1 species